rnacentral:tRNA from 1 species
GGCGCCAUAGCCAAGUGGUAAGGCACGGGUCUGCAAAACCCUGAUCGCCGGUUCGAAUCCGGCUGGCGCCUCCA